UACAGAGGGUGCAAACGUUGCUCGGAAUCACUGGGCGUAAAGGGCGCGUAGGCGGGAAUGUAAGUCGGGCGUGAAAUCCCUAGGCUCAACCUAGGAACUGCACUCGAAACUGCGUUUCUUGAGUAUCGGAGAGGAAAGCGGAAUUCCUGGUGUAGAGGUGAAAUUCGUAGAUAUCAGGAGGAACACCAGUGGCGAAGGCGCUUUCUGGACGGUAACUGACGCUGAG
rnacentral:rRNA from 1 species